rnacentral:rRNA from 1 species
UGGGGAAUAUUGGACAAUGGGCGAAAGCCUGAUCCAGCGACGCCGCGUGUGUGAAGAAGGCCUGCGGGUUGUAAAGCACUUUCGAUGGGAACGAAAUGUGCCGGGCUAAUACCCCGGCAAGCUGACGUUACUCAAUGAAGAAGCACCGGCUAACUCUGUGCCAGCAGCCGCGGUAAUACAGAGGGUGCGAGCGUUAAUCGGAAUUACUGGGCGUAAAGCGCACGUAGGUGGCGACGUAAGUCGGGUGUGAAAGCCCCGGGCUCAACCUGGGAAUUGCAUUCGAGACUGCAUUGCUGGAGUACGGAAGAGGAGGGCGGAAUUCCCGGUGUAGCGGUGAAAUGCGUAGAUAUCGGGAGGAACAUCAGUGGCGAAGGCGGCCCUCUGGUCCAGUACUGACACUCAAGUGCGAAAGCGUGGGGAGCAAACAG